GGAUUAAGAGCUUGCUCUUAUGAAGUUAGCGGCGGACGGGUGAGUAACACGUGGGUAACCUGCCCAUAAGACUGGGAUAACUCCGGGAAACCGGGGCUAAUACCGGAUAACAUUUUGAACCGCAUGGUUCGAAAUUGAAAGGCGGCUUCGGCUGUCACUUAUGGAUGGACCCGCGUCGCAUUAGCUAGUUGGUGAGGUAACGGCUCACCAAGGCAACGAUGCGUAGCCGACCUGAGAGGGUGAUCGGCCACACUGGGACUGAGACACGGCCCAGACUCCUACGGGAGGCAGCAGUAGGGAAUCUUCCGCAAUGGAC
rnacentral:rRNA from 1 species